GAACGCACCUUGCGCCCUUUGGCUAUUCUGAAGGGCAUGCCUGUUUGAGUAUCAGUAAACACCUCAACUCCCUUUCUUCUUGAAAUGGAGCUGGACUUGAGUGAUCCCAACGCUUUAUUCAUAAAGUGGCGGGUUACUUGAAAUGCAGGUGCUGCUUGACUUUUCUCUGAGCUAUAAGCAUAUCUAUUUAGUCUGCCUCAAAACAGAUUAUUACCUUUGCUGCAGCUAACAUAAAGGAGAUUAGUUCUUGUGCUGACUGAUGCAGGAUUCACAAAGACCGCUUCGGCUGUCUUUGUAAACUCGAUCUCAAAUCAAGUAAGACUACCCGCUGAACUUAAG
rnacentral:misc_RNA from 1 species